rnacentral:rRNA from 1 species
AGGGUGUAAACGCUGCAGACUUGGUGUUGGGAACCCUUCGGGGGUGCUCAGUGCCGGAGAGAAGUUGUUAAGUCUGCUACUUGGGAGUACGUCCGCAAGGAUGAAACUUAAAGGAAUUGGCGGGGGGAGCACCGCAACGGGAGGAGCGUGCGGUUUAAUUGGAUUCAACACCGUAAAACUCACCAGGGAAGACUGUUACAUGAAAGCCGAGAUGAAGACUCUGCUAGAUUUUCAGAGAGGAGGUGCAUGGCGUCAGUGACU